rnacentral:rRNA from 1 species
AGCGUAGGCGGACAUUUAAGUCAGGGGUGAAAUCCCGGGGCUCAACCUCGGAAUUGCCUUUGAUACUGGGUGUCUCGAGUAUGAGAGAGGUGUGUGGAACUCCGAGUGUAGAGGUGAAAUUCGUAGAUAUUCGGAGGAACACCAGUGGCGAAGGCGGCUUACUGGUCCAUUACUGACGCUGAGGUGCGAAAGCGUGGGGAGCAAACA